GGGCAACCCGGUAGUAAAGUGGCAAACGGGUGAGGAAUGCAUGGGUAACCUGCCCUUGAGAAGGGAAUAACCCGCCGAAAGGCGAGCUAAUGCCCUAUACGCAUUUCUCCCUUUGGGGAGUUAUGGAAAGUCAAGCCGUGGGUUUGGCACUCAAGGAUGGGCUCAUGCCCUAUCAGCUUGUUGGUGGGGUAACGGCCUACCAAGGCAACGACGGGUAGCUGGUCUGAGAGGAUGAUCAGCCACACUGGCACUGAGAUACGGGCCAGACUCCUACGGGAGGCAGCAGUGAGGAAUAUUGCGCAAUGGGCGAAAGCCUGACGCAGCGACGCCGCGUGGGGGAUGAAGGUUUUCGGAUUGUAAACCCCUUUUAUGAGGAAAGAUAAAGCAGGUAACUGCCUAGACGGUACCUCAAGAAAAAGCCACGGCUAACUUCGUGCCAGCAGCCGCGGUAAUACGAAGGUGGCGAGCGUUGUUCGGAUUUACUGGGCGUAAAGAGCACGUAGGCGGUUGGGUAAGCCUCUUGGGAAAGCUCCCGGCUUAACCGGGAAAGGUCGAGGGGAACUACUCAGCUAGAGGACGGGAGAGGAGCGCGGAAUUCCCGGUGUAGCGGUGAAAUGCGUAGAUAUCGGGAAGAAGGCCGGUGGCGAAGGCGGCGCUCUGGAACGUACCUGACGCUGAGGUGCGAAAGCG
rnacentral:rRNA from 1 species